CGGAUGAACGCUGGCGGCGUGCCUAACACAUGCAAGUCGAGCGUGAACCGUCUGAAUGAAACUUCGGUCGAGUGAGGAUGGGGAAAGCGGCGGACGGGUGAGUAACGCGUAGGCAACCUGCCCCGUACAGACGGGAUAGCCUCGGAAACCGGGAUUAAGACCUCAUAAUACCAUUAUCUCACAUGUGAUAAUGGUCAAAGAUUUUAUCGGUAUUGGGAUGGGCCUGCGUCUGAUUAGCUGGUUGGUAGGGUAACGGCCUACCAAGGCGACGAUCAGUAGGGGUUCUGAGAGGAUUAACCCCCACACUGGUACUGAGACACGGACCAGACUCCUACGGGAGGCAGCAGUGAGGAAUAUUGGUCAAGUGGGCGUAAGCCUGAACCAGCCAUUCCGCGUGAAGGAAGAAGGCCCUACGGGUUGUAAACUUCUUUUCUGUAAGAAGAAAAAGCUUGACGAGUCGAGAAAUGACGGUUAUUACAGGAAUAAGCAUCGGCUAACUCCGUG
rnacentral:rRNA from 1 species